rnacentral:rRNA from 1 species
GAUGAACGCUAGCUACAGGCUUAACACAUGCAAGUCGAGGGGCAGCACAGUGUAGCAAUACAUGGGUGGCGACCGGCGCACGGGUGCGUAACGCGUAUCCAACCUUCCCGUUACUCAGGGAUAGCCUUCCGAAAGGGAGAUUAAUACCUGAUGGUGUUCAAAUUCCGCAUGUUAUUUGAACUAAAGAUUUAUCGGUAACGGAUGGGGAUGCGUGACAUUAGGUAGAUGGCGGGGUAACGGCCCACCAUGCCUACGAUGUCUAGGGGUUCUGAGAGGAAGGUCCCCCACACUGGAACUGAGACACGGUCCAGACUCCUACGGGAGGCAGCAGUGAGGAAUAUUGGUCAAUGGCCGGAAGGCUGAACCAGCCAAGUAGCGUGAAGGAUGAAGGUUCUAUGGAUUGUAAACUUCUUUUAUACGGGAAUAAAACCUCCCACGUGUGGGAGCUUGUAUGUACCGUAUGAAUAAGCAUCGGCUAACUCCGUGCCAGCCGCCGCCGUAAAAC